UUAAGGGAGGGGGAGAAUAUUAAAAAUGGGUGGCCACAGGAACCAAGUGAAGUAAGUCUAUCAAAAAAACUGAAAUAUCACUGUGUCAAAAGCUGCUCACAUUUCAAGUAAGAUGAGGACUUUCACAUUUUUGGUGAAAGAGGGCAAACCCUUGGUGCAAAUAGAUUCGAGAGAUGGGAAGCAGGGAAAUAGAAAUGGCUAGUGACUAUAGGCAGCUCUUUUAAGGAGUUUGUCUCUAAAAGGGAGCAGAUAAAUGAGGUUGUGGUUGGAAGGGAAUGUGAGAUCCAGGGAGGUUCUUUGUUUUGUUUUUGCUUUUGUUUUGCUUUGCUUUUAAAUUAACUAUUUUUUUAGAUCAGUUUCAGUUUAUAGGAAAAUUGAGAAGGUACGGAAGUUUCCCAUAUACCCACUGAGCACACAUACACAUAGCCCUCUCCACCAUCAAAAUCUCACAUUAGAUUGGUACAUUUAUUACAAUUGAUGAACCUAUAUUGACAUUUCAUCAUUCUAAAUUCAUAGUUUACACUGGGGUUCACUCUUGGUGAUAUACGUUAUACAGGCCUAGACAAACGUACAAUGGCAUGUAUCCACCAUUAAAGCAUCCCACCUAAUGUUUUGAUGGACCUAAACACCCUAUGCUCCAUCUAUUCAUCCUCCUCCUCUUCCUCCCCCAAACCCUAGCAACCAUCAAUCCUUUGACCUUCUCCACAGACUGGCUUUCCCAGAACCAAAUUCCCUAAAAAUCCUCUGCACUCUGCUUAUUCGUAUCUUCACCCCCACCCCACCCUUGAAACAGCUGAUCUUUUUAUCGCCUCUGCAGUUUUGCCUUUUCUUAGAAUGCCACAUAUUUAGAAUCAUACAGUAUAGCCUUUCCCAGUUGGCUUCUUUCACUUAGUAAUAUGCAUUUAAAUUUCCUCCAUGUCUUCUCAUGGCUCAAUAACUCAUUUCUUUUUAGUGCUAAUAUACCAUUGUCUGGAUGUGCCACAGUUUAUCCAUUCAACUACUGAAGGACCUCUUGGUUGCUUCCACAUUUUGGCCAUCAUGAAUCAAGCCGCUAGAAACAUCUUCAUGUGCAAGUUUUUGUGUGGGCAUAACUCUUCAGCUUCUUUGAGUAAAUACCAAGGAGUGCAACUGCUGGAUCCCAUGUGGAAACCUAUCACAUGUUGAUGGACCUAGCAAGUAGCCCAAGUGUUCGAAGACAAAAAGAAUUUUGGCUAAAGGGAGAAAAAAAAUCACAGUUUGCUUUGAGAACAUUCCCUUUGUCUUUCUCCUUUCUUCCUAUCUGACAAAGAGAAAAUGUGCCUUGAAGCUCCCUCUCGCUAUCUAAGCUCUCCACAAACGUUCUUCAAUAACACAGGCCAGGCUCUGUGUGUCAGCGGUUCUUUGCUUUACCUGUACACCUCAUUUCCUCCAAUAAAAAUUGAUGGCAAAAACAUUUAA